UUCACUUUAAGAUCACCGAAGUUAAGCAAAGUCGAGCCUGGGCUGUACCUAGAUGGGUAACCAAUUGGGAAUACCAGAUGCUGUAA